rnacentral:misc_RNA from 1 species
GUGAAGAACGUAGCGAAAUGCGAUAAGUAAUGUGAAUUGCAGAAUUCAGUGAAUCAUCGAAUCUUUGAACGCACAUUGCGCCCCUUGGUAUUCCGAGGGGCAUGCCUGUUCGAGCGUCAUUAUCACCCCUCAAGCUUUGCUUGGUGUUGGGGCCUGCUGUAAUAGGCAGCCCUUAAAAUCAGUGGCGGUGCUUCAAGGCUCUAAGCGUAGUAAUUCUCCUCGCUAUAGUGUCUAGUGGUUGCCAGCCAGAACCCCCCAAUUUUCAUGAUUGACCUCGGAUCAGGUAGGGAUACCCGCUGAACUUAAGCAUAUCAAUAAGCGGAGGA